rnacentral:rRNA from 1 species
CCUACGGGAGGCAGCAGUGGGGAAUAUUGCACAAUGGGCGAAAGCCUGAUGCAGCAACGCCGCGUGAAGGAAGAAGGGUUUCGGCUCGUAAACUUCUAUCAACAGGGAAGAAAGAACUGACGGUACCUGAAUAAGAAGCCCCGGCUAACUACGUGCCAGCAGCCGCGGUAAUACGUAGGGGGCAAGCGUUAUCCGGAAUUACUGGGUGUACAGGGUGGGUAGGCGGCAUGGUAAGCCAGAUGGGAAAGCCUUGGGCUUAACCCGAGGAUUGCAUUUGGAACUAUCAAGCUAGAGUACAGGAGAGGAAAGCGGAAUUCGGAGUGUAGCGGUGAAAUGCGUAGAUAUCAGGAGGAACACCGGGUGCGAAGGCGGCCUGCUGGACCGUAACUGACGUUGAGGCACGAAAGCGUGGGGAGCGAACAGGAUUAGAUACCCUGGUAGUC